AGCAGUGUGGUGUAGCGGUAGGGAGUAGGGCUUGUAACCGAAAGGUUGCUGGUUCGAUUCCUCCCUAGGGCACUGCUG